rnacentral:rRNA from 1 species
CCUACGGGAGGCAGCAGUGAGGAAUAUUGGUCAAUGGACGAGAGUCUGAACCAGCCAAGUAGCGUGAAGGAUGACUGCCCUAUGGGUUGUAAACUUCUUUUAUAUGGGAAUAAAAUGUUCCACGUGUGGGAUUUUGUAUGUACCAUAUGAAUAAGGAUCGGCUAACUCCGUGCCAGCAGCCGCGGUAAUACGGAGGAUCCGAGCGUUAUCCGGAUUUAUUGGGUUUAAAGGGAGCGUAGGUGGAUUGUUAAGUCAGUUGUGAAAGUUUGCGGCUCAACCGUAGAAUUGCAGUUGAAACUGGCAGUCUUGAGUACAGUAGAGGUAGGCGGAAUUCGUGGUGUAGCGGUGAAAUGCUUAGAUAUCACGAAGAACUCCGAUUGCGAAGGCAGUUCACUGGACUGCAACUGACACUGAGGCUCGAAAGUGUGGGUAUCAAACAGGAUUAGAUACCCUAGUAGUC